rnacentral:rRNA from 1 species
UACGAAGGGGGCUAGCGUUGUUCGGAAUUACUGGGCGUAAAGCGUAUGCAGGCGGUUCGUUAAGUCGGGGGUGAAAUCCCGAGGCUCAACCUCGGAACUGCCUUCGAUACUGGCGAUCUUGAGUCCGGGAGAGGUGAGUGGAACUCCGAGUGUAGAGGUGAAAUUCGUAGAUAUUCGGAAGAACACCAGUGGCGAAGGCGGCUCACUGGCCCGGUACUGACGCUGAGAUACGAAAGCGUGGGGAGCAAACAGG